AGUCAGUGUAGACAAUACUGUGCUUGAUGGACCAGUGGUCUGACUCAGUAUAAGGCAGCUUCUAAAUGAUACAAUAGUCCCACUGCCCAUAUAAGGAGUCAGAUAGGGAAAGGAACUGGAGUUGUCUCCUCUCCUAAAGCAGCAGCAGUAAUUGAAAUGGUGGUGGUGGUGCUUCAGAGAUGGGGAAAAGCUCCUACAGAGUCCAAGAUCACUGCCCAAUGAGCUUUUUCAGAAUACAGAGACUGAGACAGCAAUCUCAAAAUCCAAACCAGGAAGCUGAAGCAAGAGUAAUUAUUCCUUCUUCUCCAUCCUGGUUGGCUCUCACAGGAUGUCCCAUUAGCUGCCAUGGGUGAAGCAGAGCAGCAACAUCAAGAAGCAUUGGAUCAAUUUGCCAAUGGCUUCCAUUCAUCUUUGCCAUUUGGAGGUUCAUCUAAGCAACUAGACCUUACAGUUAAAUAAUUUGACUUUGCAACUCAAGGUUUCUAGUCCAUGCCAUCACAUAGAUGUGAAACCCAUGGAUGGAAAAGAACCUGAAGACCAAAGUCAAUAUGUAUGGAAGUCAGAAAUAGAAAACCAAUUUAUUAUGUAUUUUAUUUAUUUCUUAUAUUUCCAUACUGCCCCAUGCAAAAAAAGUGCCUGGGUGGUGUACAAUUUAAAAUAUUUAAAACAUUAACAUUACAUUACAUUAAAACAUUAAGACAAUUUAAAAGUACAGAUAAAAAUGCUAAAACCCAAAGCUUGAAAACUAUAAACUAGUAUGUUUUCAGGUCCUUCUUAGAAACAUUCAGAGAAGGGGAAACUCUAAUUUCAUUAGAAAGUGCAUUCUAGAGUCCCGGGGCAACUCUGGAAAAGACCCGGUUUCGAGUCGCCACCAACCAAGCCGGUGGCAACUGCAACUGGACCUCUUCAGAUUGUCUUAAUAGGUGUCAGGGUUGAUGAAGAAGAAGGCACUGAGGCAGGUCUCACAAUCAGUGAGACCCACUUUGUAAGGGUGAGCGGGGAGAGCGGGAUUAGCCCGCUCUCCCCACAAAGAAGCAGACAGUCUGCUCUGGGCGGCCGAACCAGCCACCUACACAACUGCCAGCUCCAUAACGGAACCAGCGGGUGCUGGGGGGAGUGGGGGCUUAUCGGCCCCCAGAAGCUCCAGCAUGCCCUGUGCAAGUGCGCAGGGCAUGCUGGAGAGACCCCCGGAGCUGGGAGGCGGCUUUUCAUCUCCCCUCCAGGGGACUACUCAUGAGUAGCUGCGGCACGGAGCCACACCUCACAAUCGGGAAGCCCGGGUUAACGGAGCACUUGCUCUGCUAACCUGGGUCUAGGGGAGGGCUACAUAAGCGGGUGAUCUGCUUUGACUCAACUGAGCGUUGACUCAACCGCUUUGACUCAACCGGGCUCGGCUGCGAGCCCAGUGAGUCUCACGAUUGGUGGAAAGCGGGCUAAGCACCCUUAGCGCGCUUUCCACUGAUCAUCAGAAUAGCUCGACUCUCUUCAAUACCUUGGACCCAAUCAAUAACCAACACCAUAAUGACAAAGUCAUGGUGUUCAAGCCUAAGACUCAUUACUUGUUCCUUCGUGUAGCAUUAAUUAAAGAUUUGCAGACCAUAGAGUUAGUCCUAUAUGGUGUUGGUUAUUGAUUGGUAGUGCUGACAGGGAAGUAGUAGCAAUAUCAACAUCAGUAGUGGCAGUGGCAAUUGUAAUAGGAAUGAAAUAUAGGAAUAGUGACUUUCAAUACAUUGCAACAGUGUUGAACAUAGUCAAUAUAUAUAUACUAGCAUUGGGGAAAAUGCUAUUUUUUAUCUUCCUGUAGUACAUCUUUCAGUAAAUCCCAGCACUUUGUAGUACACUUUUUUCAGUAAAUCCCAGCAUUUUCAAAUAUAGAAUCUGAAAUACAAUGCUACAUGAAGUCAUUUCAAAGAGACCUCAGACAUGUCUGGCUUCCACUAUGAAUGGUUUCCUUGUUUUUUUAAGUGAAAUGCAAAAACCAAAAACAAAACACACACAAAAAAACCCCUGCCCAUUUGCUAAUCUAGUUUUCAAAAGUGCACAGAAAGAGAAAAAGAAUCUUCAGGGCUUUGGGAUAGCAGGAUUCUUCCCAUGUAAAUUGGAAGAAUUCAGGGUGGGCUUCACAAGACAGAACCCGAUGCAUUAGUUGCAUUGAUAUGAACAAGCUUUUGCACAUCAGAAAGAACUUCACAGGGCUUGGGGAAAAGGUUAAAGGGGAAGGGUACCACCCCCAGUAGUGACAACUGAAUUUCUCAUAGCUAGGAACUCACAUAUGGGAACAAUAUGACAGCAAGUCUCUUAAAUGUAUGCUUUUGCUUUACCAGGGCAAUUGAUAUGUUGUGUAAGGAACAUCGCAGGGCAGGUGGCUGCUGUGAGCUGACCCCGUGGCUGAAGGGCUGUGCAUGUUGGAGGUGGGAACUCUGGACAUCAUUUUCCAUGAGAUUCUCGGAUGUGACAUAAAUUUUCUUCCAGGUUUCACAGGUGAAAUAUCUGUUGAUGGCAAGAGCUGCAGUUCAUGAGUCUGAAAGCCAACAACAUGGAGGCUGGAUACAUGUGGAAGUGAAGAGUAGCAAAGUAAAAAGUAAUGGAAGAAUAACAAGCUAAAGCCAAUAUAAAGAGUCAGUUGUGUUUGCACAACAUAUAUUUGGAUCAGAAAGUCACUUGGUGAUUAUCUGCUAGAGUCUCUACCACUUCCAGCAAUGCAAAGAUCCCAAGAGCAUGCUGGGAUAGCAGGGCAUAAUUUAAAAGAAAAGUAUGCAAGCAAGUUCCUAGAACAGUAUGAGCUACCUCUGGAAAUUAUCUAUCCAUUUUGGUCUAGCCCAGCAUGGUCACUCCAAGGGGACUGAAUAUAUACAAGUCACUCCAAGGGAAUUCAUUGUGGCUAACAAAUUCAGCACUGUGCAUUAUUUAGCUGAUAAUAUCCACAAGGAAUGGGGCCUGCAUGUAGUUGCCUUAAUUGCUGGUUAUUUUAUAUUCUUCUGAAUGCAUCAUCCAGAUGACGUUUGAUUCAGGAUGACAAGGUGGCACAAUUAGCGAGAGGUUGUCUGGUCUACGCCCCAUUUCUAUAUUUCAUCAUAUAGAGGAGAACUUGUCUGCCAUUUUAAAUACCGUAAUGGCAGGAGUUCAGAUUUUACAGAAAUAAAUAUGAUUUGGAUCCUUCAUUAUCUAACACUAUUUGCUUAAAAAUCAUAUGUAUCACAACAAUGAUCUUUACCAUAGCUGCUAACCAGAUUGAUUAAACUUUGGUAGGACCAUCAAGAGUUAGAUCAAAUUUCUUGAGAUACUGUCAUCUGACUAUGCCUGGUCUAAAGCAUUUUUAAAGCAUUUCUUUGGACCUGUCAUUUUCUGAAACCCAUGUCAAGUUUCUUUGUACAUAAUAACAUGUUAUGUUAGAAUGACUGAAAUUGCUAAAAUCUUACAAGUUCAGUAUUAUCACUGAACAUAAAUCAAAGUGUUUUCUAUGGUAGUUACAUUUCUUACUGUUCAAAUUCAUGGGGUGACAAAAGACAGAAUGUACUGUCUGAGGGUCUUCCUCCUCCUUUUCUUCACAGAUAUCUGCCAAGUGGCUGCCAGAUAUAGCACACAUUUUUGCAAAUCCAACCAAAGACAAAAGAAAGAUAUCCAUACUACUGUAUGUGGCUGACAUGUUGCUUAUUUCUCACACCCAGGUGGGAAACUGCUGUCAUCUUUGGGCACUUUUUGUAAGCAGAAUUAUAACAAAUUGAUGUAAGCGACAAUAGACAAGAUAGAAUAGAAGAGAUAGAAUACUUCUCUAAAGUUUUAGGAUUACAAGUAACGAAGAAGCCAAUACAAUAUUUGGGGAUUAAUUUUACGAGGAGCAAUAAAAGAUCUGUUUAAGAAUAACUAUGUUCCAAUUUGGAAAUCAAUUAUGGCUGAUCUGGAAGAAGCUGACUCUAUCUUGACUUGGAAGAAUCUCUGCAGUAAAAAUGAACGUAUUACCUAAGAUGAACUUUCUUUUUCAAAUGAUCCCUAUAAAGAUAGACGACAAGAUAUUGAAUAAAUGGCAGUCAGCUCAAUUCAUUCAUUUGGAAUUAUAAAAAACCCAAGAUUCGAUUUAAGGUGAUGCAAGAUUCCAAAGAAAGAGGUGGUCUUGGAGUUCCUAACUUGAAACUUUACUAUCAUGCUUGUAGCUUGACUUGGAUUUCGAAUUGGAUUUUAUCCCCUUACGGAAGUUUUACUCGAAUGGAGGAACUUGGUCUUACUAGAGGAUUGCAUAAUUACUUAUGGACUUCUGGUGCGAGGAAAGAUUUGGAGAUACAACAACAUACUAUCCAACACAGUCUUUUUUAUGUCUGGGAUAAAUAUCAGAAAAGAAUAAGUCCUAGAUUAUCACCUUUGGCAUCAAUACUGAACGUUUAUUUCCAUGAAGAAGAAUUUUCUUCUAAUUAUAAUUUUUGGAGAGGCAGUCUAUACUCCUUACAAAGUUUGGCCCAGUAUUUAGCUUUGGACAAAUCAGUUUCUUCUGGGUAAUUAACUGAACAAGCAUUCUGGUUCCAGCCAGCUCGGAUCAGCUCAAUAGUCCAGAAAGAGUUACAGUUACAGGGUGGGAAACUUAGAGAUUUGACUGACUUUGAAGAAUUAAUCACCCGAAACACUGACCAUUUAUUAGGCAGAAUCUAUAAGCUAUUACUGAAGUAUGAAACGGAGUUAGCAAAUAAAAUAAUGUAUGAUAAAAUAGAUGCAGAACCUUAAUAGAUCGAUCGAUAUCUCGGAUUGGGAAUACCAAUGGAAAAAGAAUGUGAAAUUUACUUUGUGUGCCAAUCUAAGGGGAAAUUGGUAUAAGAUGUUUUUCAGAUGGUAUAUGACGCCUUUGACUAUUAAUAAAAUAGAUGAUUCUUUCUCUAAGAAAUAUUGGAAAUGUAACUCACAUUUAGGCUCAUUCUACCAUAUGUGGUGGAGUUGUGGUAAAGCUCAACAGUUUUGGAAACCAAUUCAUAUGAAAAUUGAACAAAUCUUAGAAGUUAAGAUUCUCUUUCUUCCAGAAAUUUUUCUUUUAAGUAUGAUAAAACCUUAUAUUCCUGCCAAAUCAAACGAAUUGUGUUUAUAUAUGAUUACAGUGGCUAGGAUUAUAUAUGCUUCUACUGGCGUAUUUUGGAAAUCCCUUCCUUUAAUUAUCGGUUUUUGAAAGUGUGAGACUAUGCUUCAAUUUCAAGAGUUUUGGCUUAUGUACAUGGUAUGUCUACUGAAUCAUUCAUGUCUAUUUGGGAACCCUUUAUAAAUUAUAAUACCCAUUAUGGUCAAACUUUGUUCCCAUUUUCUGGAUUUGACCUAUAGUGUUCUCGAUAUGUAAUUUACAAGAAGCUGAUCAGAUCAGAUUUUAUAACUUUAAGAGUCUGAAUUUCUUUUGCUUUAUCUUGUUCCAGAUAUUUUUUUCUUUACUGAUGUAAUUAAUUAGAAAAAUUAGGUUAUUCGUUCUGAAAAAUGAUUCGUCUUCUAUUGUCUUUAUGUGACUUAUUUCUGUCUCCUUUGGUUCACUUCUUAAUAAAAAUGCUUAAUUGAAAAUUA